AGGAGCUAAUCUUGUAAACAAGCCUUUCCAAGGAUCGCAGUCAGGCCUGCUAUGCUGUCUCUUUUCUGCACACACCUCCACCCUUUCAAGGCCACUAGGAUCCUGCACUGUUAACCAGGACUUUCUCACGAACAUGGAUAAAAGGGAAACUGCCUUAAUAUCCAUCAACAGGAAAAUGGACGAACACAUUGUAUGGGCUGGAAGCAGUGGCUCACGCCUGUAAUUCCAGCACUUUGGGAGACCAAGGCAGGAGGAUCACUCAAGCCCAGGAGUUCGAGACUAGCCUGGGCAACAUAUGGAGACCUGUCUCUACGAAAAAUAAGGUGGAAGGAUCCUUUGAGCCCAGGAGUUGGAGGCUGAAAUAAGCCAUGAUUGUACCACUGAUAGAAGUAUCCUGUGUUUUGAUUGGGGUAUGACAACACAGAUAUAACAUUUAUCAAAACUCAUCAGAUUAUACAAUUAAGAGCUGUGCAUUUCACUGUGUGUAAAUUUUAUCUCAAAAAUAUCUAGCAGCUGAUCAUGACAGAGAGAUGAUAAGCACAGUCUGGACCAUUACAUGUA
rnacentral:lncRNA from 1 species